rnacentral:rRNA from 1 species
CGCCCUUAGAGUUUGAUCAUGGCUCAGAUUGAACGCUGGCGGCAGGCUUAACACAUGCAAGUCGAGCGGUAGGAGAGCUUGCUCUCUACGAGCGGCGGACGGGUGAGUAAUGUCUGGGAAACUGCCUGAUGGAGGGGGAUAACUACUGGAAACGGUAGCUAAUACCGCAUAAUGUCGCAAGACCAAAGAGGUUCGUCUUGCCAUCAGAUGUGCCCAGAUGGGAUUAGCUAGUAGGUGGGGUAAUGGCUCACCUAGGCGACGAUCCCUAGCUGGUCUGAGAGGAUGACCAGCCACACUGGAACUGAGACACGGUCCAGACUCCUACGGGAGGCAGCAGUGGGGAAUAUUGCACAAUGGGCGCAAGCCUGAUGCAGCCAUGCCGCGUGUAUGAAGAAGGCCUUAGGGUUGUAAAGUACUUUCAGCGAGGAGGGAAGGCGUUGUAUAAUUGCAACGAUUGACGUUACUCGCAGAAGAAGCACCGGCUAACUCCGUGCCAGCAGCCGCGGUAAUACGGAGGGUGCAAGCGUUAAUCGGAUUACUGGGCUA